CGACACGAAAGAUUCAAAAUGACACCAUAUGUGCAUAGUACAUACAUUGAGCGUCACUUCAUGAACCAUGACUCCGAGCCCGUUUGCAUGAUAUUCAGAUAUAACUAUGGCGCGUCAUUCAAGCUGCUUCAAACAACCCCUCCCAGACCGUGGAUGCGAGCUUGAUAGCAUAGUAUUGACCGUGUUGCCACUCGCAAGAGCAUUUCCUGCAGCUCGGAGUCUAUGUAGUUCCUAAGGGACUUCAAUAAGAGGAGCCCGAUUGAGGAAACCUGAUCGAGUGGCGAUCUCUGGAUAUGUGCCACGUAUUCGCACGGCCC
rnacentral:sRNA from 2 species